rnacentral:rRNA from 1 species
CCUGGCGGCCUUAGCGCGGUGGUCCCACCUGACCCCAUGCCGAACUCAGAAGUGAAACGCCGUAGCGCCGAUGGUAGUGUGGGGGUCUCCCCAUGCGAGAGUAGGGAACUGCCAGGG